GCCCGGUUAGCUCAAUCGGUAGAGCGUGAGACUCUUAGAGUUCACCAUCUCAAGGUUGCGGGUUCGACCCCCGCAUCGGGCU
rnacentral:tRNA from 1 species